AUGAGUGGUGUUUGGUUGAUACGGGUGGUCGGCUCCCGCUUGAGCAGGCACGGCCACGCGUGCAUUCCUUUUCAGUUGUGCGGCAAGGCUUGUAUCGUCUUGAUCGUAUAAGUGGGUUUCUUGUGUUGCAUACCUGAUCAAUGGCAUCGUUUUGAUCAAAAUGGUACCUUUUUCGUCUGACGAUGCACUUAUUGCGUUGUCGGAUGAACCGUGUAGCAUCCUCUUUGAUCCAUACAGUUGACGUGUGCUCGUUGAUUGUUUGGCCCGUUGAGGGUGACUUGGUCUCUCGGAUAUGGAAGCCAAAGUGGGCAUGGGUUCGCAAGAUCCCUUUAUUGCCCUCAUUGAGCGUUCUCGCUUCUCUUACACGACUGCCUUUCACGUAUGGCACGUCCCAGCGUGUUUGGCUAUGUCGAAGAGGAAU
rnacentral:misc_RNA from 1 species